CGGAGAUGGAACUGGGAAAUUUGCCCACACUAAGUAGGCAUUUGCGUAUUUCUUAGGCUGUUCUAAUUGGAAGGUAAUGUCUAACAAUAGUUUAAGAACUGGAAGUUGGGUUCGUUAGUGACUCGGUGACGACACAUUGCUAAGGUCUGGGUGGGAGACCAAGAGAAGCCCUACAGCCUUUUACGUGGUUCUAGAAAACCUACAGCACCCAAAUGAGCCCAAAUACAGCGUUAGAAACGUCAGAGGCUGAAGACAGGUGGCUUGUCUCUGUGUCCAGUCCGGACCCAGAUGUCUGUUUUCCACCACCCUAUCCCCCCCCCCCCGCCCAGUCUUUUCCAGACUGCCCCCAGGGACUUGUGAAUAUAUAUCUUCAAAGUUCUUUAUCAGGGUUUGUCUUUACCCCUCUCCCUGUUGGUCAGCCUCCCGCUUUGCCCUGCAAACUGGAGAAGAUGUUUUCCACAAUCUGGAACUACUCCCCAAACUACCCCCCACCCCCAACCAGGGCAAUCAGUGUUUACUGAAGGGUAACUGGCCAGAGGGAGAGGCCUGAAGACAGAAGCACUCAGGGAGCUGGCAGCUUCAAAGCCUGGAGGAGGCCCUCCUGUCCCUCCAUCCUCCUGGACACACACCUGAUUCCCUCGCUGCUCUCCCCUCCCCCAUCAGCAUCUCUGGGACCUCCAGGUUUAUGGUGCUUUUAUGAAGCCUUGCUGUGUGAAUGGUCUUUGCUAGGGACAAUCAGGUCUUCGUUCCCCUGUUGCCUUAAGAGGCCUAAUCCCUUCAGUUUGUGCCAGGCAUUCCUGUUCACUAAAAAAAAAAGUGUUUUCAUAUUAGUGACACGUGUUUGUUUAAAGAAACCUGGAACUUGAGAAAACUAGAUGGCUUAGUAAAAAUAGCAAAUGCUGAAAAGUUGCUCAGAUUGAAACACAAUGAGAUGCCAUCUAAUUGGUGCAUUUUACUUAAAUAAGAGAAAUUAUCCAAAUUCUGGAAAUAAGAUGAAAAGGAUAGUCAUGCAUUCAAUGUCAUGUUGAAUUAUUGUUUAAAAGCCCAAAGAUUACUUAAUUUCUUUGGACCAUAUACCUUUCUUUUAUUUUGCUAUUUAUUAUUAACAAUAUGCUAGGACUGUGAAGUCAUGUAAAUUUGUAAAUUUAUGCCCACAACCGAUACAAAUAAUUUUUGUCCAGAAAAAAUGAAGUUUACCUUAAAGGUUAUCAUUUAUUGCCCUUUAGGACAUUAAAUGUUUUUUUUUUAAUCUAGCCUAGUAAGCUUAUUUUAACUUUUAUUUUUAAAAGAUCAUAUAAACCUAGGCCCUCAAGUGGUCUUUGAAUCAGCCUUAUCAUGUUACAAAUUCUCAUUAAUUAACAAGUAGAAUAUUUUUGGACACAUAUUUGCAGAACCAUUUGAGAGUCAUACUUCCAACCUGUAAAAAAAAAAAAAUUGCUUGUACAAGUUCAACCAGAACAAGAGCUUUUGCAAGGGUGUGGAGAGACAAGGACCUUUAUAGACUAAUAUUGGUGCAUCAGUUGGAAGAGGUUCUUUGGAAAACAGGUUUGCGAUAUUUGUUAAAACAAUAACAAAAACAAAUGUGUAUAACUUGUGUCCCAACAAUUCCCUUUUCUAGGAUUCAAUCCUGGAGAAACAUUUCCACAUAUGUACUGAGAGAAACACACAGGGACAUUCAUUGUUGCACAGUUUACUAAAGUGAGAAAUUGUAAGUGAUUUAAAUGUUCGUUGAAAGGGAGAAGAAUAAAUUACUGCCACAUGAAUAAAUUACAGCAUAAUGGUCUACUACGAAUCCACAAAAAUGAAUCAGUUAAAAAAGCCUGGACCAAUCUCAGUUACAGAAUGUCAGUGGAAAUAGGUGAUGGGUAUAAUAUGGUAAUAUAGCUACACAUAACAAAACAACAAUAAAUUUAGAAAGGGACCUACCAAAUCAGUAAAGUUCCUUUAGAGGUGGUGAACAAGUCCAGAUGGGAGGGUGUCAAGAGAAUUUUUGCUUUUUCUAUAAUGCUCUUAUGUACAUUUUUAAUUAAAUAAAUGCAUCUAUUACUUGUGUAAUUUUUAAUAGGGGAAUGGGGCCUCUGGGAGGCCAGUCAGUAGUGCUUGACUCCAGAUGGUGGGAAUACGUGCUAUUAAUAUUCUCUUCUUAAUAUUUUUCUGUGUUUUAAAUAUUUUCUAAGGGUGAUGAAGAAAAUGAGGAAAGAAUCCCUGAAAUAAAU
rnacentral:lncRNA from 1 species